CGCAAUGGGCGAAAGCCUGACGGAGCGACGCCGCGUGAUUGAUGAAGUCCUUCGGGACGUAAAAAUCUUUUAUGAUUAAGAAAGUUUAUUGAUCUGAUCAUGAAUAAGGGGCUCCAAACUCUGUGCCAGCAGGAGCGGUAAUACAGAGGCCCCAAGCGUUAUCCGGAAUCACUGGGCGUAAAGGGUGUGUAGGUGGUUUUGUUAGUCUCUCGUUAAAGCUCCCGACUCAAUCGGGAAAGUGCGGGAGAUACGGCAAUACUAGAGGAUGCGAGGGGUCAGUGGAACUCAUGGAGUAGGGGUGAAAUCCGUUGAUAUUAUGGGGAACACCAAAAGCGAAGGCAACUGACUGGCGCAUUCCUGACACUGAAACACGAAAGCGU
rnacentral:rRNA from 1 species